CGCGUAGGAAUCUACCUGGUAGUGGGGGAUAACAUGGAGAAAUCCAUGCUAAUACCGCAUACGUCCUGAGGGAGAAAGUGGGGGACCUUAUGGCCUCACGCUAUCAGAUGAGCCUGCGUCGGAUUAGCUUGUUGGUGAGGUAAAGGCUCACCAAGGCGACGAUCCGUAGCUGGUCUGAGAGGAUGAUCAGCCACACUGGAACUGAGACACGGUCCAGACUCCUACGGGAGGCAGCAGUGGGGAAUAUUGCACAAUGGAGGAAACUCUGAUGCAGCGAUGCCGCGUGAGUGAAGAAGGCCC
rnacentral:rRNA from 1 species